ensembl:lncRNA
UGAGUCUUCGACACGCCGGCCAACACAUGCAGUGAGCGUCCUGUGGAUACGACAGCUGCCGUGUUCACAUCAGUGUCCUGCCUAUUAUCAGGAAUGUAUGCACAGUUUAAACAGUACACAGCAAUCACUGCAGAGAGCGAGUUUUUGUUCUGGUUAUAACGGGAGACAUCUACAAUUCUGUCUUUAAACAUAUUGGCUUCAAGACAAUAGAAGCAUCAGUCUGGGCCGACAGAUCAAUCAAAUCUGUAGCUGUGAACAGACCUACUUUCCUCACCUGCUCACUGCCUCCAUGUGGCCUGAAUUUCAAACUCAUUCCUGCGUUUCCUCUGCCCCGGGGUCAUUGCACAAAACUGGAGCUGGAAAGUUCUCAAAAUAGAGAUCAGGAGGAAACUACGAUGGAAACAAAACAACUUGCAGAGAGACACGAGGAGGGCUGAGAGAGGAUUCGAUCCUCGACCAGCGGGGGUCCAUGGGAAUCUAAAGGUGGGGAAUCAACCACCGUGGCAUUGAUGGGAAACAGCCUGCAUUAUUUAAAACAGCAUAUAAAGGCAAAGUUGUGUUUCAAUAGAUUGCUGCCAUCCUCAAUUGUGCCUGAGGGUGUGUGUGCGCCUUUUUCCUGUGCUGCAAAACCUCACAUUUUCCAAAAUGUCAGAAUGAUCGGUGAAAUAAGCCAGCACAGCCUCAUUUUCAUUUUGACAGCUGUGUAGUUUUUUGGGGUUUUUUUUAUUCUGUAAAUUAUGCAAUGGCUUUCAUGAAUCCUCGAGUUUUACAAGGUCACACAAUCCUCCGGUUCAGGUAAAAAAAAACAACAUGGAAAUCAUCAACAUCGCCAUAAUGGAUUUUUUCAUCUGACAGCUGCAAUAAUGUAGCAUGCUUGUGUACAGUAGAUUUAACAUAUGAGUGUUGUGCUACUUUAUCUACACCCCCACAGGCUACACUUUGAUUUUCCUGUAAUAAAUAAUGCUCUUUUGUGUUCUGUGCUUCAUUUGUUCCCUGUUGUAACCUCAGAGCUGCUCAAUAAAUUAUGAAUUACGCC